rnacentral:misc_RNA from 1 species
AUCAUUGUCCCCAAGCAGAGGCCCUGGAUCAAAUGACGUUAUGGUAGGGAUUGGGGAAAAAAAUGUUACAAAAACAUUGUGAGACAUGUACAAGUUACUGCAAAAAAGUUUGAGCAAUUUAGAUUCUUUCUAUAUCAUAAUGCAUAUUUUAUAUAUAUCAUAAUCUCAUUUGGGAUUGUUUUCAUCAUGGGGAACUAGUAAGCAAAUUGAAUAUUCACAUCAACGCCAUGCUCUUGAUAUGCUUAGAGGAAAAGGGGACAUAGGUAACUCAAGAUAGCAUCCACAUACAAUUAAUAGCUUAUCACCAGUGCAAAGUGAGUCCAACAUGUGAUAAAAAUGACUAUUCAAUCCUCAUUUAAUCAAUUUAUAAAAAUGCCUUGAGAAGUUCUCCCCUUUUUUUUUUGGAUGGGGAGGCUGCAGGGGGGAGAAUGAAUUAAAUCUUCAAAGAAAGAAAAGUAUAAACUAUGAAAAGCUGUAUUCAAUUUAAUCAUAGGAGCACAUAGCAAAAGAAAUAAGUACAAGGAACUAUAUUAAAAACAGAGAUUUAUCAUUUUGAAAAUCAUGGAAAAUAAAACCAAAGAAUAUAA